rnacentral:rRNA from 1 species
CUCAGGGAGGUAGUGACAAGAAAUAACAACACUGGAAAUUUUAUUUCUAGUGAUUGGAAUGAUGGGAAUUUAAACCCCUUUCAGAGUAACAAUUGGAGGGCAAGUCUGGUGCCAGCAGCCGCGGUAAUUCCAGCUCCAAUAGCGUAUAUUAAAGUUGUUGCAGUUAAAAAGCUCGUAGUUGGAUGUCUGCUGGAAGCAAUCAGUCCGCCCUAUUUGUAGGGUGUGCACUUGAUGAAUUCUGGCAUCUAUGUCCUAAUGUGAUAGAUACGGCGGUGUAUAUGGGUUAAUCCUAUAUACCCGUUUUUGUAUAUUAUAUUGGGAUAAUACCGUUACUUUGAGAAAAUUAGAGUGUUUGAAGCAGGCUAAUUGCCUUGAAUACUGCAGCAUGGAAUAACAAUAUAGGAUUUCGGUUCUAUUUUGUUGGUUUCUAGGACUGAAAUAAUGAUUAAUAGGGACAGUUGGGGGCAUUCGUAUUUAACUGUCAGAGGUGAAAUUCUUAGGUUUGUUAAAGACGAACUACUGCGAAAGCAUUUGCCAAAGAUGUUUUCAUUAAUCAAGAACGAAAGUUAGGGGCUCGAAGACGAUCAGAUACCGUCGUAGUCUUAACCAUAAACUAUGCCGACUAGAGAUAGGAAAAUGUCAUUUUUCUGACUU